rnacentral:rRNA from 1 species
UAAUACGAAGGGGGCUAGCGUUGCUCGGAUUUACUGGGCGUAAAGGGCGCGUAGGCGGACAGUUUAGUCAGAGGUGAAAGCCCAGGGCUCAACCUUGGAAUUGCCUUUGAUACUGGCUGUCUUGAGUACGGGAGAGGUGAGUGGAACUCCGAGUGUAGAGGUGAAAUUCGUAGAUAUUCGGAAGAACACCAGUGGCGAAGGCGACUCACUGGCCCGUUACUGACGCUGAGGCGCGAAAGCGUGGGGAGCAAACAGGAUUAGAUACCCUGGUAGUCCACGCUGUAAACGAUGAGUGCUAGUUGUCGGGCGGCAUGCCGUUCGGUGACGCAGCUAACGCAUUAAGCACUCCGCCUGGGGAGUACGGUCGCAAGAUUA